rnacentral:rRNA from 1 species
CAGUCGCCGCGGUAAUACGAGGGGGGCAAGCGUUGUUCGGAAUUAUUGGGCGUAAAGGGUGCGUAGGCGGCUUGACAAGUCUUGUGUGAAAUCUAUGGGCUCAACCCAUAGUCUGCACGGGAAACUGUUGGGCUGGAGUAUGGGAGAGGUGAGUGGAAUUCCUGGUGUAGCGGUGAAAUGCGUAGAUAUCAGGAGGAACACCGGUGGCGAAGGCGGCGACCUGGUCCUUGACUGACGCUGAGGCGCGAAAGCUAGGGGAGCAAAUAGGAUUAGAGACCCCCGUAGUCCCUGUCUCUUAUAC